ACGCCCGUGGCUCAAUUUGGCAGAGCGACGGAUUCCAAAUCCGUAGGUUGGGGGUUCGAGUCCCUCCGGGCGUGCCA
rnacentral:tRNA from 1 species